GAUGAAGAACGUAGCGAAAUGCGAUAAGUAAUGUGAAUUGCAGAAUUCAGUGAAUCAUCGAAUCUUUGAACGCACAUUGCGCCCGCCAGUAUUCUGGCGGGCAUGCCUGUCCGAGCGACAUUUCAACCCUCGAACCCCUCCGGGGGGUCGGCGUUGGGGAUCGGCCCUUUCACCGGGUGCCGGCCCCUAAAUACAGUGGCGGUCUCGCCGCAGCCUCUCAUGCGCAGUAGUUUGCACACUCGCACCGGGAGCGCGGCGCGUCCACGUCCGUAAAACACCCCAACUUCUGAAAUGUUGACCUCGGAUCAGGUAGGAAUACCCGCUGAACUUAAGCAUAUCAAUAAGCGGAGGA
rnacentral:misc_RNA from 1 species